GAUGAACGCUAGCGGCGGGCUUAACACAUGCAAGUCGAGGGGUAUAGUUCUUCGGAGCUAGAGACCGGCGCACGGGUGCGUAACGCGUAUGCAAUCUACCUUUUGCAGAGGGAUAGCCCAGAGAAAUUUGGAUUAAUACCUCAUGGUAUGUGAGAAUGGCAUCAUUUUCACAUUAAAGUCACAACGGCAAAAGAUGAGCAUGCGUCCCAUUAGCUAGUUGGUAAGGUAACGGCUUACCAAGGCAACGAUGGGUAGGGGGCCUGAGAGGGAGAUCGCCCACACGGGAACUGAGACCCGGACCAGACUCCUACGGGAGGCAGCAGUGAGGAAUAUUGGACAAUGGGCGCAAGCCUGAUCCAGCCAUGCCGCGUGCAGGAUGACGGUCCUGUGGAUUGUAAACUGCUUUUGUACAGGAAGAAACACUGGUUCGUGAACCAGCUUGACGGUACUGUAAGAAUAAGGAUCGGCUAACUCCGUGCCAGCCGCCACGGUAACAC
rnacentral:rRNA from 1 species